GCCUCCAUUUCCUCCUGCUUAUUUCUUUCCUUCUUUUGUCCUUUUAUUUAUUUGUGUCUCUGUCGAUCGUCCUCUUGUGGGUCCUAUCCUCCAGACGUCCCUCAACCUUCCUCCUCUGAUGGAGUCAGAACCAGCUUCCUGAUCGACACUGAGCACUGACCUAACCAGUUUCUGACACACCUCACUCCAAAGAAGUUUUUCAGACGUCCCUCAACCUUCCUCGUCUACCAGAGUCAGAACCAGCUUCCUGAUCGUCUGACAGAAUAAAUUGGAAUCUGCCUUUGAUUCCUCAGCCUGUUUCUGUUGCCAGUCUCUCCUUUGGACUCUCUGAUUCUUCAGAUGGACGGUCUGGUCCUUCACUUCCUGCCCGGAACCAUCACUGGUUUGGUUUUCUGUCUCCUCCUCACUCACUACUGUAAAGAUGAUUUCUUCUUGUCCUCGUCCAGUUCUGCUGUUCCCAUCAACACUGGUUUGGCUGUU